AGAGGAAAACAGGGAAAGAGAGUGAGAGAGACCCAAAAAGAGAGACAAAAAGAAAAGCAGGAGACAGAGACUCAGGAGAGGGACCCAGAGAAAGACAGGCAGACACAGGUGGCAGGCAAUGGGCAUUGUGGGAGCCACAGUCAGAGGACCUGGAAUGGCCCUGAGAACCCCUGAUAAGAUUCCUCUGCUGCUCAUGGGGCUGCUGACCACAGGCCUGGCUCAGUCACUGAUCGCUGCCUCAGCCUCCCGAGGAUUCUUGACCCUGCCUGAAAACCUGACGAUUGUGGAGGGGGCUUCAGUCAAGCUGCAGUGCGGGGUCAGUGCCCCUGGCAGUGUGGUGCAAUGGGCCAAAGAUGGGCUACUCCUUGGCCCUGACCCUAGGAUCCCAGGCUUCCCGAGGUACCGCCUGGAAGGGGAUCCUGCUAGAGGUGAAUUCCACCUGCAUAUAGAAGCCUGUGAACUCAGCGACGAUGCAGAGUAUGAGUGCCAGGUCGGCCGCUCGGAGAUGGGCCCCGAGCUCGUGUCACCCAGAGUGUUCCUCUCCAUCCUGGUUCCCCCCAAGGUGCUUCAGCUGACCCCUGAGGCAGGGAGCACGGUCACCUGGGUAGCUGGGCAGGAGUAUGUGGUCAGCUGUGUGUCUGGGGAUGCAAAGCCAGCACCUGACAUCACCUUCCUCCAGAGUGGACGAACAAUAUCUGACAUCUCUGCUAACGUGAAUGAGGGGUCCCAGGAGAAACUCUUCACCACAGAGGCCACAGCCAGGGUGACACCCCAGAGCUUGGAUAAUGGGCAAUUACUGGUCUGUGAGGGGUCCAGCCCAGCCUUGGACACCCCUAUCAAGGCUUCAGUCACCAUGAAUGUUCUGUUCCCCCCAGGACCCCCUGUCAUCGAGUGGCCAGGCCUGGAUGAGGGACACGUGCGGGCAGGGCAGAGCUUGGAGCUACCAUGUACUGCCCGAGGGGGAAAUCCACCAGCUACACUGCAGUGGCUGAAGAAUGGCCAGCCCAUGUCCACAGCGUGGGGCACAGAACAUGCCCAGGCGGUGGCCCGCAGUGUGCUGGUGAUGACCGCGCGGCCAGAAGACCAUGGAGCACGGCUCAGCUGUGAGGCCCACAACAGCGUAUCUACAGUGACCCAGGAACGCAGCAUCCUGCUGCAAGUUGCCUUUCCCCCCAGUGCCAUUACUAUCCUGGGAUCUGCAUCCCAGUCUGAGAACAAGAAUAUGACGCUCUCCUGUAUCACCAAGUCCAGUCGACCGCGGGUCCUGCUGCGAUGGUGGCUGGGCUGGCGGCAGCUGCUGACCACGGAAGAAACAGUCACAGAUGGCCUGCAUGGCGGCCACAUCUCCAUGUCCAAUCUGACAUUCUUGGUGCGGCGGGAGGACAAUGGUUUGACCCUCACAUGUGAGGCUUUCAGUGAGGCCUUCGCCAAAGAGACCUUUAAGAAGUCACUCACCCUGAAUGUGAAAUAUCCUGCCCAGAAGCUGUGGAUCGAGGGACCCCCAGAAGGGCAGCGCCUCAGGGCUGGGACCCGGGUGAGGCUGGUGUGCUUGGCCAUCGGGGGCAACCCAGACCCCUCCCUUACCUGGUACAAGGACUUGCGCACCGUGACCGAGCCUCGGCAGCCUCAGGAGCCGCGGCGAGUGCAGCUGGGAAGCCUGGAGAAGUCGGGGAGCACCUUCUCCCGCGAGCUAGUGCUGAUCACAGAUCCGUCGGACAACCUGGCCAAGUUCACGUGCAAGGCGGGCCAGCUCAGCGCAUCCAAGCAGCUAGUAGUGCAGUUUCCCCCAACGAACGUGACAAUCCUCUCCAACGCGUCGGCGCUGCGUCCAGGGGACGCCUUAAACUUGACGUGCGUCAGCAUUAGCAGCAACCCGCCGGUCAACUUAUCGUGGGACAAGGAGGGGCAGAGGCUGGAAGGCGUGGCCGCACCCCCCCGAAGCGCCCCGUUCAAAGGCUCCGCAGCGGCCAGAAGCGUCCUUCUGCGAGUGUCAUCCCGCGACCACGGCCACCGUGUGACCUGCCGCGCCCACAGCGCAGAGCUCCGCGAAACCGUGAGCGCCUUCUACCGCCUCAACGUGCUAUACCGUCCAGAGUUCCUGGGGGAGCAGGUGCUCGUGGUGACGGCGGUGGAACAGGGCGAGGCACUGCUGCCUGUGUCCGUGUCUGCUAACCCCGCCCCCGAGGCCUUUAACUGGACCUUCCGCGGCUAUCGCCUCAGCCCAGCUGGUGGCCCCCGGCAUCGCAUCCUGUCUGGCGGGGCUCUGCAUCUGUGGAAUGUGACCCGCGCCGAUGAUGGCCUCUAUCAGCUGCACUGUCAGAACUCGGAGGGCACCGCUGAAGCGCUGGUGCGGCUGGACGUGCACUAUGCUCCCACCAUCCGCACCCUCCAGGACCCCACUGAGGUGAAUGUCGGGGGCUCUGUGGACAUCGUCUGCACCGCUGAUGCCAAUCCCAUCCUCCCAGGGAUGUUCAAGUGGGAGAGGCUGGGGGAAGAGGAGGAGGACUGGAGCCUGGAUGACAUGGAGCAGCUGUCAAAAGGGUCCACUGGGCGUCUGCAGAUUCGCCAUGCCAAACUGACCCAGGCUGGUGCUUACCAGUGCAUCGUGGACAAUGGAGUGGCACCUGCAGCCCGAGGGCUGGUCCGGCUCGUUGUCAGAUUUGCCCCCCAGGUGGAGCACCCCACUCCCCUAACUAAAGUGGCUGCAGCUGGAGACAGCACCAGUUCUGCCACCCUCCACUGCCGUGCCCGAGGUGUCCCUAACAUCAUCUUCACUUGGACCAAAAACGGGGUCCCUCUGGAUCUCCAGGAUGCCAGGUACAUGGAGCACACAUAUCACCAGGGUGGAGUCCACAGCAGUCUCCUGACCAUUGCCAAUGUGUCUGCAGCCCAGGAUUAUGCCCUCUUCACUUGCACAGCCACCAACCCCCUAGGCUCGGACCACACCAACAUUCAACUCGUCAGCAUCAGCCGCCCUGACCCCCCAUUGGGAUUAAAGGUCGUGAGCAUGACCCCACACUCAGUGGGGCUGGAGUGGAAGCCUGGCUUUGAUGGGGGCUUGCCACAGAAAUUUCACAUCAGGUAUGAGGCCCUGGAGACUCCAGGGUUCCUGUACAUGGAUAUCUUACCACCCCAGGCCACCACCUUCACACUUACUGGGCUACAGCCUUCUACACGAUACAGGAUCUGGUUGCUGGCCAGCAAUGCCCUGGGGGACAGUGGACUAGCUGACAAGGGGACCCAGCUCACCAUCACUACACCAGGCCUGGAUCAGCCUUCUGGAGAACCUGACUAUCAGCUGCCCACAGAGCAGCCUGCAGGACCCUCGGGGUUGCCCCUGCUUCCUGUGCUAUUUGCUGUUGGGGGUCUUCUGCUGCUUUCCAAUGCCUCCUGUGUUGGGGGAUUCCUCUGGCGGCGGAGACUGAAGCGUCUUGCUGAAGGCAUCUCAGAGAAGACAGAGGCAGGGUCGGAGGAGGACCGAGUCAGGAAUGAAUACGAAGAGAGCCGGUGGACUGGAGACCGGGACACUCGAAGCUCCACAGGUUAGCACAACAGAAGUGGAGCCAUAUUACCACUCCAUGAGAGACUUCAGCCCCCAGGUGCUCCCCACACUGGAGGAGGUGUCUUAUCCCCGAGCUUUUGUAGGUCUUGAAGAUGAGGCUAUGGCCUUUCCUGGGCAUCUGUAUGAUGAAGUGGAAAGAAUGUAUGCCCCGUCUGGGGCCUGGGGACCCCUCUACGAUGAAGUGCCAAUGGACCCCUGUGACGUCCGCUGGCCUGAGGACGAGUAUGAGGAUCCCAGAGGAAUCUAUGACCAGGUGGCAGGAGACUUGGACACUAUGGAACCUGAUUCUCUCCCAUUUGAGCUGAGAGGAGAUCUGGUGUGAGAGCCUUCUCAACACGCUUUUCCUCCGACCACAGGAUUGAUACUCCAAAGGUCCUUUUCAUUCCAGCCUGGGCUGAGCUUGCAAAGUGAGCUCCAUAAGACACAAAGGGACUGGGCUUCUUCAGGAGAGGACAUGAAGGGAUGUGUGUAAGUGAUAUAAGAUGAUCCAAGAUGGUGUCAAAUUAUAAACAAGGCUCCUCCUGGGAUUAGCUUUAGAACUAAACUUCCCCAAAGGGACAGAAUAAAUUGUAAGAGACAUCUCAAAAAUGAAAAGCUA